rnacentral:lncRNA from 1 species
CAAUGCCUGGGGUUUCUUACUAAUUGGUUUUAUAAUGCUCACCUUGUCCCAUUUUAUUCCUAAGUCAUUGAUGUAGAUUUCUAUUGAAAAACUGUAGUCAUUUUCCCCUGGUGAUGUCCUUCUUAUGCUCCUCCAACCUCUGGGCCAGGAUUCGAGUCAUCACUCUUACAUGUGCCUGUUGUUGGGUCUUCGGGUCUACCACUGGAAUCUUGUUUCUCUUUUUUUUUCUGGGAUCCUUUUCAUUCCUUAGCUUGUUGAAAUCGUUGGUCCUCUCUGAAACAUCAGUUUCUUGUUUGUUUCCUGGCUACUUUAUUUACAAAUUAAUUUUUUUAAAACUAUAUGCC